CAGAGGUCAGGGUGACCAACCCAGGAAGGCUUCAUGGAAGAACAGCUUGGCUCCGGGUCUUGAAGGAAGAGGAAGCAGGGCACUCACGCUACACCCCAAAUGACGGAGACCUAUCCUAAGAAGCCCAUCCUUGAACACACCACACACAUGUUAGAUCUGAGCUUCUAACUAAACAAGUGACUCCAAUACUGACACCACCUUUUUAUCAGCUCCAUAUAGAGAUGCACACUGACCUUGGAAGCCAUAACGUGACGAAGUGUGGGCCAAAUGUUCAAAGCUGUCUGAGGCCCUGGACAGCCCCUGGGAAAAGAGCCACCCAGCACUCAG